UCCCGGAGCCGGGCGGGCGCCGCCUUCCCGCGGGCGGCCGGCAGGGGUCAGUGUUUGGCCGCAGGUGAACAGGCAGCCCGGACGCCGCUCGGGUUCCUCUGCCUGCGUCUUUCUCCUACUACCGAGCGUCUGCACUCAUUCCCUGGCCAUUCAUAAGAUUCUUGCCUACAAAGACUCCUUGUCUUACCUGGUCACCAGGCCGGCACCCUCCGUAAGCAUGUAUCGCUGGGCCGGUGGACAUUACUUCCUGGCCUCAUACUAGACAGCGCCAAACUGGAAAGAGGAUGUGGCCUGGAGUCAGAAGAUGUUGAAUUCCUACUCUGCCGAUUACCAGCUGUGUGAUCUUACGCAAGUCAUUUUACUUCUUUGUGUCAAAUUUCUAGUCUUCAAAAAUGAGCUAACGGCUAUAGGAAUGGCUGUUAUACCACGUGCCAACGAUGUCUAUGCCUAUAAACUAUGCGUGUUAUCUUCUCGAGACUUAAGUUGAGGAAACUGUGCUCUGAGAGAUGAACGGCAGCAGAAGGUCAGAUGCAUUUUUCCUUCUUUACAGACCAGCUCCUAUUGCCUGCCCCAAUCUGAAUGGAGGAAAGUGACAUUCCAGAUUCAGCCAUCCAAACAGAGAGAACCCUGCCUUCCUCGGAGCAGCGUACCUCCCCAGCAGACCUCCCAGGAGAGCAAGGCCAGGCAAGGAAGCAUGGAAGGAGCGUCCAAGACUGCAGGAACUAAGUGCUGGGAGGUUGAGGGAGACGUCAGAGAAGACAGAUGUUCUACCAAGCAUGGGAGCAGUCCAGAGUAGGGAACGCGGAGCUUUGUCCCUGUCUGGAAUAGGACAUCCAUCUUCUUCCUCAUCUCAAGGCCAAAGUUCUCCCACCACCAACUUUAGCUCCUGACCAAGCCCCCUCCCUCCCUUUUUAAACCCCUCCCCAGCCACGAAGGGAGUUUCUGGAGCCAAGACCCUACCAGCCACUCCUCCCCAGAGUUGUCAAGGAGGGAACUGGAAGCCGGAGGCUGUCCCCGGCAACUGCGCCCACUACCAAGAGCAAGACAGGUGUCUUCCUCCUGGGCGACACUGUCCCUGGAGGGUACACAUUCAGGCUGCCAAGGGUACCUGCCCUUGGGGAUGCAGCUCCUGAAGCGUUGCAGUUUCCUGCUUUUAGAGAGUAGAGGAUACUCUCCAGAGGAUCGAGGUGUGGUACAAGCUGCAGGGCAAGCCUCAUCAGCAUCUUUAAUGAAUGGAGGUGGCACACGUAGCCCAGCCACUGGAAAAUCCCUUGCCAAGUUGGAGGCAGACAUGUCAGCCCAGAGUCACGCUUUUGCCCAACAGCUGUGCCAAAAAUGAUUCCGGGCCGUGGAAACAUUCAGAGUAAAAAUAGUAUGUGGGGCAUGUUGAGAUGUUUCCAAGGAAAUC